GACGAACGCUGGCGGCGUGCUUAACACAUGCAAGUCGAACGGAAAGGCCUCUUUCGGGGGGUACUCGAGUGGCGAACGGGUGAGUAACACGUGAGUAACCUGCCCUUGACUUUGGGAUAACUUCAGGAAACUGGGGCUAAUACCGGAUAGGAGCUCCUGCUGCAUGGUGGGGGUUGGAAAGUUUCGGCGGUUGGGGAUGGACUCGCGGCUUAUCAGCUUGUUGGUGGGGUAGUGGCUUACCUAGGCUUUGACGGGUAGCCGGCCUGAGAGGGUGACCGGCCACAUUGGGACUGAGAUACGGCCCAGACUCCUACGGGAGGCAGCAGUGGGGAAUAUUGCACAAUGGGUGGAAGCCUGAUGCAGCAACGCCGUGUGCGGGAUGACGGCCUUCGGGUUGUAAACCGCUUUCGCUCAUGACGAAGCUUUGUGUGACGGUAGUGGGUAAAGAAGCACCGGCUAACUACGUG
rnacentral:rRNA from 1 species